rnacentral:rRNA from 1 species
CCUACGGGUGGCAGCAGUGAGGAAUAUUGGUCAAUGGGCGCGAGCCUGAACCAGCCAAGUCGCGUGAGGGAAGACGGUCCUAUGGAUUGUAAACCUCUUUUGUCGGGGAGCAAAAGACGCCACGCGUGGCGUUCCGAGAGUACCCGAAGAAAAAGCAUCGGCUAACUCCGUGCCAGCAGCCGCGGGAAUACGGGGGAUGCGAGCGUUAUCCGGAUUUAUUGGGUUUAAAGGGUGCGCAGGCGGAAGUUUAAGUCAGCGGUAAAAUUGAGGGGCUCAACCUCGGCGAGCCGUUGAAACUGGUUUUCUUGAGGUAGCGAGAAGUAUGUGGAAUGCGUGGUGUAGCGGUGAAAUACAGAGAUAUCGCGCAGAACUCCGAUUGCGAAGGCAGCAUACCGGCGCUUAACUGACGCUCAUGCACGAAAGUGUGGGUAUCGAACAGGAUUAGAUACCCUUGUAGUC